UACGUAGGGGGCUAGCGUUGUCCGGAAUCACUGGGCGUAAAGCGCACGUAGGCGGAUCUUUAAGUCAGGGGUGAAAUCCUGGAGCUCAACUCCAGAACUGCCUUUGAUACUGGGGAUCUCGAGUCCGGAAGAGGUGAGUGGAACUCCUAGUGUAGAGGUGGAAUUCGUAGAUAUUAGGAAGAACACCAGUGGCGAAGGCGGCUCACUGGUCCGGUACUGACGCUGAGGAGCGAAAGCGUGGGGAGCGAA
rnacentral:rRNA from 1 species